rnacentral:miRNA from 1 species
UAUCGGACCAGGCUUCAUUCC